rnacentral:tRNA from 1 species
UGGGGUGUAGCUCAGUGGUAGAGUGCUUGCCUAGCAGUUAGAAGGCCCUGGGUUCCAUCCCCAGCACUACAA